UGGGGAAUUUUGGACAAUGGGGGCAACCCUGAUCCAGCAAUGCCGCGUGUGUGAAGAAGGCCUUCGGGUUGUAAAGCACUUUUGUCCGGGAAGAAAUCGCACCUGAUAAUACCGGGUGUGGAUGACGGUACCGGAAGAAUAAGGACCGGCUAACUACGUGCCAGCAGCCGCGGUAAUACGUAGGGUCCAAGCGUUAAUCGGAAUUACUGGGCGUAAAGCGUGCGCAGGCGGUUGUGCAAGACCGAUGUGAAAUCCCCGGGCUUAACCUGGGAAUUGCAUUGGUGACUGCACGGCUCGAGUGUGUCAGAGGGGGGUAGAAUUCCACGUGUAGCAGUGAAAUGCGUAGAGAUGUGGAGGAAUACCGAUGGCGAAGGCAGCCCCCUGGGAUAACACUGACGCUCAUGCACGAAAGCGUGGGGAGCAAACAGG
rnacentral:rRNA from 1 species